GGGAAAAUAAUGUGGAAGAAACUAACUGUGGAGCAGCAUCUUACUUAUAUUUAAUUAUAGUAUAGUGAAUAUCUGGAUCAGCAGAUGAUACUUAUUUUAUAGUAGGGCAUUUGCUUUUCUCUAAUUAUCUACUUAGAAAAAGCUGCUUGCUUUUAAAUGAGAGAUUUCUGGUCAUAAAUAAGGGGGAGGAAUUAUAGUUUAAAAGCAACACCUCAUGGGAGCAAUAAAUGAACUCACAUAGCAGUAGCUUCUUUUUCGCGAGCUUUAUCUGUAGGUCUGUACUUUUAACAUACAUUAUUUUGGAUAAUAAGGAGGAACAUAUGCAGCAGAAAAAAGAGGAGGAAGAAGUUCUUAAAGAAGUAACUGCACAUUUCCAAAUUACUUUAACUGAAACUCAAGCCCAGCUGGAACAGCAUGAAAUACACAAUGCCAAACUGCAGCAGGAGAACAUGGAAAUGGGAGAAAAGCUAAAGAAGCUCACUGACCAGUAUGCACUGAGGGAAGAGGUAAACGGCGUUUGGUUUGUUUAUAGACAGCUGCUCACCAGUAGCAAAAGCUACACCCUACCGUAAAGUAAAAACUCUUUCACAGGACAGUAUUUUAGAACUUUUGUGUAUGCACAGUGGAAAUUACAUGUUUAUUAGGAAAAGAGUAGAAACCUGUAAACAGAAUGACUAAAUUGGAGCAUCACUUGGCCCAAGUGUCAGUGGAGUAGGAUAAGUAAAGGGAUUUCUAGGAGAUGUGUACCACUUGUCUCCCAUAUGAUGCUACAAGAUUGUCAAUAUAGCAUACAGAUAUUUUUCUCUUAUGCAGUCUAAUAAUACAGAUUUGUUCCCUAAAUACUCUGUAUCUCAGAUUUCUGUGACAAUCUGAACAAUAUAAAUAGGAGAAUUGUGCUAUUUGUGAGAAUAAGGAACCUACUAAUUACCCAUCACCAAGUCACAUUGUUUGUGUAAUCAAUGAAGUAAAAAGUUUGUGGAGGACUCAAUAGUUGUCGAACCUAGUCAUUGGAGUUAUUUUAUAAAUUGAUGUGGAAGUUGUAUGAUGGCUAAAUAAAAAACAAAUAGGUGAUAA
ensembl:lncRNA TXLNGY taxilin gamma Y-linked (pseudogene)